GAGAAGGAGGAGAAAGACCUUGUGGCUCAGCAGAACAUGUAUGCGCAGCUGCUUCCUCUCGCUUUGCCGGCGCCGCCAAUGCCUGGCAUGGGUGGCCCUCCACCUCCGAUGGGUGGAAUGGGCAUGCCUCCCAUGGCCGGGAUGGGUAUGCUGCCGAUGGGCCCUGGUCCGAUGCCAGCAUUCGGAAUGGGAGGCUACUGAAUUGUGGUUUUGCAGGGAGCUUAGAUGAUGAUGUGAAUUGUUCCAUUGCAAGCAUAAGUGGAACCUCAUUGGAGCUAUACAUGGUUUACAGUUUGGGAAAUCAAUAUUCUUUAUUGUACCAGGAAACUUUUUUUGGGCGAGUCAGUGAAAUCAGCCUGACCCAUAGUUUGAGAAGCGCAACCUAUGAUAUGUUUUACAAUGGGAUCGGAAAUAGG
rnacentral:misc_RNA from 1 species